GAUGAACGCUGGCGGCGUGCUUAACACAUGCAAGUCGAACGGAAAGGCCCAGCUUUUGUGGGGUGCUCGAGUGGCGAACGGGUGAGUAACACGUGGGUAACCUGCCCUUGACUUUGGGAUAACUUCAGGAAACUGGGGCUAAUACCGGAUAGGAGCACCUCCUAGAUGGUGGGGGUUGGAGAGUUUCGGCGGUUGGGGAUGGUCUCGCGGCUUAUGAGCUUGUUGGUGGGGUAGUGGCUUACCAGGGCUUUGGCGGAUAGCCGGCCUGAGAGGGUGACCGGCCACCUUGGUGCUGAGGUGAGGCCCAGACGCCUACGGGGGGCAGCAGUGGGGAAUACUGCACAAUGGUCGGAAGCAGGAUGAAGCAGCGCCGCGUGCGGGAUGACGGCCUUCGGGUUGUAAACCGCUUUCGCCGGUGACGAAGAGUGUGUGACGGUAAUGGGUAAAGAAGCACCGGCUAACUACGUG
rnacentral:rRNA from 1 species